rnacentral:rRNA from 1 species
UACGUAGGGGGCAAGCGUUGUCCGGAAUCAUUGGGCGUAAAGCGCGUGUAGGCGGCCCGGUAAGUCCGCUGUGAAAGUCGGGGGCUCAACCCUCGAAUGCCGGUGGAUACUGUCGGGCUAGAGUGCGGGAGAGGCGAGUGGAAUUCCUGGUGUAGCGGUGAAAUGCGCAGAUAUCAGGAGGAACACCAAUUGCGAAGGCAGCUCGCUGGAACGUAACUGACGCUGAGACGCGAAAGCGUGAGGAGCAAACAGG